rnacentral:rRNA from 1 species
CCUACGGGGGGCAGCAGUGAGGAAUAUUGGUCAAUGGGCGCAAGCCUGAACCAGCCAAGUCGCGUGAGGGAUGACGGUCCUAUGGAUUGUAAACCUCUUUUGUCGGGGAGCAAGGCCCGCCACGUGUGGCGGGAAAGGAGAGUACCCGAAGAAAAAGCAUCGGCUAACUCCGUGCCAGCAGCCGCGGUAAUACGGAGGAUGCGAGCGUUAUCCGGAUUUAUUGGGUUUAAAGGGUGCGCAGGCGGAGGUGCAAGUCAGCGGUCAAAUUGCGGGGCUCAACCCCGUACUGCCGUUGAAACUGCAGCCCUUGAGUGCGCGAGAAGUAUGCGGAAUGCGUGGUGUAGCGGUGAAAUGCAUAGAUAUCACGCAGAACUCCGAUUGCGAAGGCAGCAUACCGGCGCGCAACUGACGCUCAUGCACGAAAGCGUGGGUAUCGAACAGGAUUAGAUACCCGAGUAGUC